rnacentral:rRNA from 1 species
GACGAACGCUGGCGGCGUGCUUAACACAUGCAAGUCGUACGGUAAGGCCCUUUCGGGGGUACACGAGUGGCGAACGGAUGAGUAACACGUGAGUAACCUGCCCACAACUUUGGGAUAACGCUAGGAAACUGGUGCUAAUACUGGAUAUGUGCUCCUGCUGCAUGGUGGGGGUUGGAAAGCUCCGGCGGUUGUGGAUGGACUCGCGGCCUAUCAGCUUGUUGGUGGGGUAGUGGCCUACCAAGGCGGCGACGGGUAGCCGGCCUGAGAGGGUGACCGGCCACAUUGGGACUGAGAUACGGCCCAGACUCCUACGGGAGGCAGCAGUGGGGAAUAUUGCACAAUGGGCGCAAGCCUGAUGCAGCAACGCCGCGUGCGGGAUGACGGCCUUCGGGUUGUAAACCGCUUUCAGCAGGGACGAAGCUUUUUGUGACGGUACCUGCAGAAGAAGCACCGGCUAACUACGUG